GAUGAACGCUGACAGAAUGCUUAACACAUGCAAGUCGAUUCGAUUUACCUUCGGGUAUUGAGGAUGGCGGACGGGUGAGUAACGCGUAAGGAACUUGCCUCUUGGACUGGGACAACUGUUGGAAACGACAGCUAAUACCGGAUAUUAUGAGAUUCUCGCAUGGGAAACUUAUGAAAGCUAUAUGCGCCAAGAGAGAGCCUUGCGUUCCAUUAGCUAGUUGGUGGGGUAACGGCCCACCAAGGCGACGAUGGAUAGCCGGCCUGAGAGGGUGAACGGCCACAAGGGGACUGAGACACGGCCCUUACUCCGUACGGGAGCAGCAGGUGGGAAUAGUUGGACAAUGGAACCAAAAGUCUGAUCCAGCAAUUCUGUGUGCACGAUGAAGGUC
rnacentral:rRNA from 1 species